rnacentral:rRNA from 1 species
GUCAUAGAAAAUAUAUGCAGGCUGAACACACCCGAUCUUGUCUGAUCUCAGAAGCUAAGCAGGGCAGGGCCUGGUUAAUAUUUGAAUGGGAAAAUAGACAUAGUCUGAGGGUCUAAGACA